AUUGAACGCUGGCGGCAGGCCUAACACAUGCAAGUCGAGCGAGCGGCGGACGGGUGAGUAAUGUCUGGGAAACUGCCUGAUGGAGGGGGAUAACUACUGUAACCGGUAGCUAAUACCGCAUACCAUCAGAUGUGCCCAGAUGGGUUUAGCUAGUAGGUGGGGUAAUGGCUCAUCUAGGCGACGAUCCCUAGCUGGUCUGAGAGGCUGACCAGCCACACUGGAACUGAGACACGGGCCAGACUCCUACGGGAGGCAGCAGUGGGGAAUAUUGCACAAUGGGCGAAAGCCGGAGGCAGCCAUGCCGCGUGAGUGAAGAAGGCCUUCGGGUUGUAAAGCACUUUCAGCGGGGAAGCGGUACCCGAAGAAGAAGCACCGGCUAACUCCGUGCCAGCAGCCGCGGUAAUAC
rnacentral:rRNA from 1 species